rnacentral:rRNA from 1 species
AGAGUUUGAUCCUGGCUCAGGAUGAACGCUAGCGGGAGGCCUAACACAUGCAAGUCGAACGGGAUUGGUAGCAAUACCAUGAGAGUGGCGCACGGGUGAGUAACGCGUAUGCAACCUACCUGUAACAGAGGGAUAGCCCAUAGAAAUGUGGAUUAAUACCUCAUAGUUCUAUUGAGUCGCAUAUUUGAUAGAUAAAGCUCCGGCGGAUACGGAUUGGCUCGCGUGACAUUAGCUAGAUGGUAAGGUAACGGCUUACCAUGGCUAUGAUGUCUAGGGGUUCUGAGAGGAAGGUCCCCCACACUGGAACUGAGACACGGUCCAGACUCCUACGGGAGGCAGCAGUGAGGAAUAUUGGACAAUGGAUGGAAAUCUGAUCCAGCCAUGCCGCGUGCAGGAAGACGGCCCUAUGGGUUGUAAACUGCUUUUGUAUGGGAGCAAUAAGGUCUUCGUGAAGGACCCGACGGUAGUGUAUGAAUAAGCAUCGGCUAACUCCGUGCCAGCAGCCGCGGUAAUACGGAGGAUGCAAGCGUUAUCCGGAUUCAUUGGGUUUAAAGGGUGCGCAGGUGGGAAAAUAAGUCAGUGGUGAAAUACUGCCGCUUAACGGUAGAAUUGCCAUUGAUACUGUUUUUCUUGAGUAUGGUUGAGGUAGGUGGAAUGUGUUGUGUAGCGGUGAAAUGCAUAGAUAUGACACAGAACGCCGAUUGCGAAGGCAGCUUACAAGCCAUUACUGACGCUGAGGCACGAAAGCGUGGGGAUCGAACAGGAUUAGAUACCCUGGUAGUCCACGCCGUAAACGAUGAUCACUCGCUGUUUGCGAUAUACAGCAAGCGGCCAAGCUAACGCAUUAAGUACUCCGCCUGGGGAGUACGGUCGCAAGAUUGAAACUCAAAGGAAUUGACGGGGGCCCGCACAAGCGGUGGAGUAUGUGGUUUAAUUCGACGCAACGCGAAGAACCUUACCAAGGCUUGACAUCCUCUGAAACCUAAGAGAUUAGGUCGGCCCCUUCGGGGGACAGUGAGACAGGUGGUGCAUGGCUGUCGUCAGCUCGUGUCGUGAGAUGUUGGGUUAAGUCCCGCAACGAGCGCAACCCUUAUCCUGUGUUACCAGCGUGAAAGACGGGGACUCACAGGAGACUGCCGCCGACAAGGCGGAGGAAGGCGGGGAUGACGUCAAGUCAUCAUGCCCCUUAUGUCCUGGGCUACACACGUACUACAAUGGGUGCAAACAGAGGGCUGCAAUCCCGCGAGGGGGAGCAAAUCCCAAAAGGCACUCUCAGUUCGGAUCGCAGGCUGCAACUCGCCUGCGUGAAGUCGGAAUCGCUAGUAAUCGCAGAUCAGCAGGCUGCGGUGAAUACGUUCCCGGGCCUUGUACACACCGCCCGUCACACCACGAAAGUCUGCAACACCCGAAGCCGGUGGGGUAACCGCAAGGAGCCAGCCGUCGAAGGUGGGGCCGAUGAUUGGGGUGAAGUCGUAACAAGGUAACC